ensembl:miRNA mir-5548 miscRNA
GUUCCAUCCUUGACCGCCGAACUGGUGUUUCAUAAAGCCUUCUCACUCUCCACGGCGGUAGGCAAGCCCUGUGGAUUGGAGAAGGAGAAGCCCCACAGGAUGUCCCGAAA